UGAGGGGCCGCGGGGGGGGAACGGCAGCGCCGCGGCUGCCCCACACGAGAACCGAGACCGCCAAAACCCGAACGCCGCUGCAAAAACCCUCAGAACCUGAACGCUGCAGGCUGAACACACCACACAGGGAGCGCGAAAGCGACAGUCCAUAAAAAUAAAUGACAAGUACUUAAGGAUCUAUGGAAUCUGCCAGAAGGAGUCAAGCUCUCCUCUCACCUGCUGGGCGUAUUGUUCCGAGGUGGGGCCCACAGGCACAACCAUGACCUGCCUUGGAGACAGCCAGAAUGGCCUGGCCAGCACAGGACAAACAGGAAAUAAAGUCCCAUGAAAUAGUAUGGAUAUGAUACAACUCAGACCAGAAACCUGGACUUCUUUUGAGAAAAUUUUAGGGGAAUUAUUUUUGCAUUAUAAUAUAUGGGACAUUAGGAAGGAUAUGCAGUUUCUAUGUUGUUAAAGUCUUCUUAGAAUUCCAUUUGUGCCACAUACCAUUUUCCUCCAUAAUUUUCUGCUAGAAUAGCUAUCAUUCUCUCCACAGAUCCCAAAAUAGCUCUGUGAAUAAUCACUGGCCUUGUCUUGUCAUCGCCAUCCUUACUGAAAAAAAAUCAAGUUUUUUUUUUAAAUAAAGUUUUCUUAGUUCACA